ACCACUGUAGCUCAGUGGUAGAGCAAUUGCCUUGCAUGCAGAAAGUUUCAGGUUCAAUCCCUGACAGCCCCAAGUAGGUC